rnacentral:rRNA from 1 species
AGAGUUUGAUCCUGGCUCAGGAUGAACGCUGGCGGCGUGCUUAACACAUGCAAGUCGAACGAAACACCUUAUUUGAUUUUCUUCGGAACUGAAGAUUUGGUGAUUGAGUGGCGGACGGGUGAGUAACGCGUGGGUAACCUGCCCUGUACAGGGGGAUAACAGUCAGAAAUGACUGCUAAUACCGCAUAAGACCACAGCACCGCAUGGUGCAGGGGUAAAAACUCCGGUGGUACAGGAUGGACCCGCGUCUGAUUAGCUGGUUGGUGAGGUAACGGCUCACCAAGGCGACGAUCAGUAGCCGGCUUGAGAGAGUGAACGGCCACAUUGGGACUGAGACACGGCCCAAACUCCUACGGGAGGCAGCAGUGGGGAAUAUUGCACAAUGGGGGAAACCCUGAUGCAGCGACGCCGCGUGAGUGAAGAAGUAUCUCGGUAUGUAAAGCUCUAUCAGCAGGGAAGAAAAUGACGGUACCUGACUAAGAAGCCCCGGCUAACUACGUGCCAGCAGCCGCGGUAAUACGUAGGGGGCAAGCGUUAUCCGGAUUUACUGGGUGUAAAGGGAGCGUAGACGGCAUGGCAAGCCAGAAGUGAAAGCCCGGGGCUCAACCCCGGGACUGCAUUUGGAACUGUCAGGCUAGAGUGUCGGAGAGGUAAGCGGAAUUCCUAGUGUAGCGGUGAAAUGCGUAGAUAUUAGGAGGAACACCAGUGGCGAAGGCGGCUUACUGGACGGUAACUGACGUUGAGGCUCGAAAGCGUGGGGAGCAAACAGGAUUAGAUACCCUGGUAGUCCACGCC